GACGAACGCUGGCGGCGUGCUUAACACAUGCAAGUCGAACGGUAAGGCCCUUCGGGGUACACGAGUGGCGAACGGGUGAGUAACACGUGGGUGAUCUGCCCUGCACUUCGGGAUAAGCCUGGGAAACUGGGUCUAAUACCGGAUAGGACCACUGCCUGCAUGGGUGGUGGUGGAAAGCUUUUGCGGUGUGGGAUGGGCCCGCGGCCUAUCAGCUUGUUGGUGGGGUGAUGGCCUACCAAGGCGACGACGGGUAGCCGGCCUGAGAGGGUGACCGGCCACACUGGGACUGAGAUACGGCCCAGACUCCUACGGGAGGCAGCAGUGGGGAAUAUGGCACAAUGGGCGCAAGCCUGACGCAGCGACGCCGCGUGAGGGAUGACGGCCUUCGGGUUGUAAACCUCUUUCAGCACCGACGAAGCGCAAGUGACGGUAGGUGCAGAAGAAGGACCGGCCAACUACGUGCCAGCCGCCGCAGUAA
rnacentral:rRNA from 1 species